ensembl:lncRNA
CAGGACAUUAAUUGUUCCUUCUGGACCGCAACUUAGCUUAUCCCUGAAUCAGAAAAUUUUCUGAAACUGCAGACAUACAAUUUUCAAACGUGCAUUGAGAGGCCACUUUCUCAGCUGUGAUUCCAGGGCGUGGGGAUGGGAAGUUGAAACAAGUUAUUUGCGUACCAGGAGCUUCCAACACGACACAAAGGAAAGAAACAUAAUUCAUCCCUGUGAUUCCAGCAGCAGUUACAAAGGCUUAUGUAGCCAUUCUGCUAUGAAUUAGUCUUCCCUGGAACUUAUGAAAAACUCAUUCAGUCCUUGUUGAGUUGAACUGAGACGUAGCUUCUAUCAGUCAUUGACACCGCUCCCUCAUUUUAAGACAUGCCGGCUUCCUUGGCACACCUCGUCGGCGGAACAGGAUAUGUACAUGCUUGUCACAGGCUCUGUCCAGGCCAAUGAGUCCCUCUGCCCCAGGUACAGGGCUGGCUCAUGGACCCGAAUGUAUUCCAUUUAUCCUAUGUGUGAUUGCCCUAGAGUUUGCAG